rnacentral:rRNA from 1 species
GACGAACGCUGGCGGCGUGCCUAAUACAUGCAAGUAGAACGCAGUUGCGAACGGGUGAGUAACGCGUAGGUAAAUGCCUCAUAGCGGGGGAUAACUAUUGGAAACGAUAGCUAAUACCGCAUACUGUGAGAUGGACCUGCGUUGUAUUAGCUAGUUGGUGAGGUAAAGGCGCACCAAGGCGACGAUACCAAUCCGACCUGAGAGGGGUAUUGUGCACACUGGGACUGUGACACGGCCCAGACUCCUACGGGUGGCAGCAGUAGGGAAUCUUCGGCAAUGGACGAAAGUCGGACCCAGCAACGCCGCGUGAGUGAAGAAGGUGUUCGGAUCGUAAAACUCUGUUGUUAGAGAAGCGGUAUCUAACCAGAAAUCCACGGCGAACGACGUGCCAGCAGCCGCGGUAAUUC